rnacentral:lncRNA from 1 species
GGAAGACAGUGUGGAGGAGAGAUGCCCUGUCUGUCAGACCCUCACUGGACGGCCAAGAGACCCAGAGCAGAUUCAUUGGAAGCUGCACUCACAGAAGAUCAGGAUGGGCGCAGGGGACGCUGGGUCAUGAGCCGUUCAUCGAUAGAGAUUAUCAGCGCAGAGCUUGAGAUAAUUGUCAGUUGUAAGGGUCACAGUCCCCUUUGCAGUUUGGCGUGAUUGUGGGAUCAUUUGGUAACGGGUCCCGCACUGCGAGCCUGCUGGCCCGGGAGCCCACACAGCCCGGCGCGGAGCACCCAGCCCUGCGGUGGGUCAGAGGACGGCGGCUGGAACCUGACGUCCUGGAGCCCCGUCCGCCUUCACUGACCCGGGGUCGCCUCCCUGAGCCUCGGUGUCCUCAGCUGGAAAUGGGACCCUGGACUCGCGAAAGCGAACCUUGUGUCAUUGCAUCUGAACCCCGAGCUCCGUGGGGGCCGCAGCCCCCGGUGAGCCCCCACUGCCCUGAGCUGAAUAACAUGAGUGAACGAGGGGAGGAUAGAUUAGUGACUGGACGUAAUGGACGUCAAGGUGCUUUGCAAAUACAAGAGAAGGUUCUGGCCGUCACAUGGAGAUGGGGGUGGAAGAGGGUGCAGGGUGGAGGGCAGGGAGCAGAGAACCUGCUGCCCCGCCCCAGCAGGAGUGAGGGGGCCCCGCCCCCCCAUCCUGCUUGCACAGCCUCAGCUCUGUAAAUGUGCCUCCCUGGGCUCCCUCUCCUGCCCCCACAGUCAUCCCCAGGCUGCUGGAGCCCCGACAGCGGGCGCCUCUCCCCGAAGACAGACACAGAGACAAGGCUUUGUCCUCAGCCAUUUUCCCGUAAAAUUUGCUCUGAGAAAGCAGACGGAGGUGGGGCUCAGGCAAGGAGGGGCCAGAGGGGCGGGAAAACAUUCAGGGAGAAGAGGCUUCAAAAUGCAGCUCCGGGUUCUGCAGGGGGACGGGGAUUAAAGGAUCACUUCGAAUGACUUUGGCCAUCAGAGUAAGAGAUUCGUCUCCCCAGAACGCUUUCCUUUGACAGUUGGCUUCAGGGAUUUGACAGAAUUCAUUUCUCCAGCAAAUAAGAUCAAGCCUCACGUUUCUGGCACCUGGCAGAGGUCCUGUGAGGGAGGAGUCACCAGACGUGGUGGGCGAAGUGGGGGAGCCCAGGGCCCAGGGGCGCACAGCCCUCAUCCUCCUGCUCCCCUCGGAGCCGGGGCACCCGGAGGGUGCAGAGGAGAGACCUCUGUCCUGCUUGGAAGGUAUCUUCAGAGAGGCCAGCAGAGAGGACAAACUUGAGAGCCAGCAUUAGUCAAUUCCCUGCUUCCUCAUCCCUAAAAACACCUGACUCAAUGACGGUUACCUCCAGGGGCAGUGGCAGCUUCAUAAGCCACAGAUGUGAGCCCAGGGGCAAAGCCUGGCACACAGUAGGACCUCAAGUCAUUUCUUCCCCACCUCACCCACCCCGCAGGCCGCCAGAGAGGGUUUGGGGCCCACUCCUGAUCCACGGUUUACAGAAAUGCCUCUAGAAUAUUCCCCAGCGUCAGCUUCCCUCCCCGACCCUAGACAGUGUCGCUUGUCCGUGUCUUCAGAAAUGACAAGAAUGACGCACAGUGGCUCCAUCUCUGAACACAGCAUGCCUGCAAAUGUCAGACUCCCCACUGAGGGCCUGCAUGUGCACUCAUGUGAGUGGCCAUGUGUGCACACAUGUGAGGGCCCCAUCGGAAAGGACCGUGUACCUCACAUUCUUCAAGGCCUCGAAUGUGACCCUCUGACGCUGUCUCUAACACAGCCACAGGGGCACGGGGCCAGGACAGGUGGAAAGACGAGGGCCCUCCACGAACAGCC